CAUUAAGAGAAAAUGUAACCGGUAGAUGCUGCAGGAGAGGGGGGCUCAAAUCCCCCUUUCCCAGCGCGCCACAAAACCCAAACCGCGUACCCAACCAUGUUGCUUCCCCGGACCCGCAGGGUGACCUGCCCGGCGCUGGGCCCCCCCGCGCAGGGGGACGCGUCGGCCGUGGGCCGGGAGAAGGGUCGGAAUGUACUUUCCUGAAGAAACCCCCCCAACCUGCCCGAAGAUGUGGAGUCUGACGUCGGCCUCGGUGCCGUCGGUUUUGUUUUUAACACACUUAAAACUUUCAACAACGGAUCUCUUGGUUCUCGCAUCGAUGAAGAACGCAGCGAAAUGCGAUAAGUAAUGUGAAUUGCAGAAUUCAGUGAAUCAUCGAAUCUUUGAACGCACAUUGCGCCCCAGGGCAUUCCUUGGGGCAUGCCUGCUCGAGCGUCACAUAAAAGCCCCCUCACAAGCAUUUGUGGUGCUGGCGAUUGUGGCUGUCCCCCUUCGCUGGGCGGGCCCACACCGCUGAAAUGGAUCAGGCGGACGCAACCCUUCUCGCCCACUGGCUUAGUAAAACCGACUUCAAGUCGACCAGCCUGGAGUUUGGUGGCGUCUUGCCGGCAACGAAGGACCCCCCCUCCUUAGACGGAGUUGAGAAACCUUGGGUUGACCUCGGAUCAGGUAGGGAUACCCGCUGAACUUAAGCAUAUC
rnacentral:rRNA from 1 species